rnacentral:lncRNA from 1 species
AUAGGCCGUUCCAAGAUGCUGUCAAAAUUAAAUCAAUAUGGCUACUGGAAGGCAAACAUUGAAUAUUAUUCUAUCAGCUUUCAAUUAGUGUCAUAAACGUCAAAGUCUUGAAAUGGCCUAU